rnacentral:rRNA from 1 species
CAGGCCUAACACAUGCAAGUCGAACGGUUGUAGCAAUACAGCAGUGGCGCACGGGUGAGUAACGCGUGGGAAUGUACCCCCCAGUUCGGGAUAACAGCGGGAAACUGCUGCUAAUACCGGAUAUUCUCUUCGGAGGAAAGAUUUAUCGCUGAGGGAUCAGCCCGCGUCAGAUUAGCUAGUUGGUGAGGUAAUGGCUCACCAAGGCUCCGAUCUGUAGCUGGUCUGAGAGGACGACCAGCCACACUGGAACUGAGACACGGUCCAGACUCCUACGGGAGGCAGCAGUGGGGAAUAUUGGACAAUGGGCGAAAGCCUGAUCCAGCCAUGCCGCGUGAAUGAUGAAGGCCUUAGGGUUGUAAAGUUCUUUUGCCAGGGAAGAUAAUGACGGUACCUGGAGAAUAAGCACCGGCUAACUUCGUGCCAGCAGCCGCGGUAAUACA